AUGACAUCAUGCUGCCGUUGCAUUUCUUUUUUUUUUUUCCAAACUUUAUUUAUGCUUUAACAUGAGGUACAGUGUAAAGGCAAUGCAAUGGUUAUAUAGUUACAGUGUACCUUUAACUACAAACAUAAUUGUGCUAGAACAAGCCCAAUUAUACCCACAUAUAUACACCUACACAAAAUACAUAAAAUGGAUCAAGUCAAAGUAAACAUAUUGCGUUAGCGGACAGAAACAGAUAUAUCAUAAGAUAAACAAAAUAAAAAGGGACCACAGUACUAAAUAUAUGUAAAUUUCUUUCCCUCAACCCAUACAAACAUACACUCGAAAAACGAGA